AUUGAACGCUGGCGGCAGGCCUAACACAUGCAAGUCGAGCGGAGCGGCGGACGGGUGAGUACUGCCUAGGAAUCUGCCUGGUAGUGGGGGAUAACGUCCGGAAACGGGCGCUAAUACCACAUACUAUCAGAUGAGCCUAGGUCGGAUUAGCUAGUUGGUGGGGUAAAGGCCUACCAAGGCGACGAUCCGUAACUGGUCGGAGAGGAUGAUCAGUCACACUGGGACUGAGACACGGCCCAGACUCCUACGGGAGGCAGCAGUGGGGAAUAUUGGACAAUGGACGAAAGUCUGAUCGAGCAAUGCCGCGUGAGUGAAGAAGGUUUUCGGAUUGUAAAACACUUUUGGUUGGGAAGCGUUACCAAACGAAAAAGCAACGGCUAACUUCGUGCCAGCCGCCGCGGUAAUUC
rnacentral:rRNA from 1 species